GCCAGGCAUGGUGGUGCAUGCCUGUAGUCCCAGCUAUUUGGGAGGCUGAGAUGGGAGAAUCACUUGAGCCCAGGACGUCAAGGCUGCAGUGAGCCAUGAUCAUGCCACUGCACUCUAGCCUGGAUGACAGAGUAAGAAACUAUCUCAA
rnacentral:SRP_RNA from 1 species